rnacentral:tRNA from 1 species
GGGGGUGUAGCUCAGUAGUACAGCAUGGGCUUAGCAUGUGCAAGGCCCUGGGUUCCCUCCCCCGCACACCCA